GAGUCUAACAUGUGCGCGAGUCAUUGGGACACGCAAACCUAAAGGCGAAAUGAAAGUGAAGGUCAGCCUAGCGCUGACCGAGGGAGGAUGGGCCGCGUCACGAUGCGGCCCCGCACUCCCGGGGCGUCUCGUUCUCAUCACGAGGAGAGGCGCACCCAGAGCGUACACGUUGGGACCCGAAAGAUGGUGAACUAUGCCUGGUCAGGACGAAGUCAGGGGAAACCCUGAUGGAGGUCCGUAGCGAUUCUGACGUGCAAAUCGAUCGUCGGAACUGGGUAUAGGGGCGAAAGACUAAUCGAACCAUCUAGUAGCUGGUUCCCUCCGAAGUUUCCCUCAGGAUAGCUGGCACUCGCGUACAAAACUUACACGAGUCUCAUCCGGUAAAGCGAAUGAUUAGAGGCCUUGGGGCCGAAACGACCUCAACCUAUUCUCAAACUUUAAAUGGGUGAGAUCUCUGGCUUGCUUGAACUAUGAAGCCAUGAGAUUUCGGAU
rnacentral:rRNA from 1 species